rnacentral:rRNA from 1 species
CCCACGGGUGGCAGCAGUGGGGAAUAUUGGACAAUGGGCGAAAGCCUGAUCCAGCCAUGCCGCGUGUGUGAAGAAGGCCUUCGGGUUGUAAAGCACUUUCAGUGGGGAAGAAAGCCUUGGGGCUAAUACCCUCGAGGAAGGACAUCACCCACAGAAGAAGCACCGGCUAACUCCGUGCCAGCAGCCGCGGUAAUACGGAGGGUGCGAGCGUUAAUCGGAAUUACUGGGCGUAAAGCGCGCGUAGGCGGUCUGAUAAGCCGGUUGUGAAAGCCCCGGGCUCAACCUGGGAACGGCAUCCGGAACUGUCAGGCUAGAGUGCAGGAGAGGAAGGUAGAAUUCCCGGUGUAGCGGUGAAAUGCGUAGAGAUCGGGAGGAAUACCAGUGGCGAAGGCGGCCUUCUGGACUGACACUGACGCUGAGGUGCGAAAGCGUGGGUAGCAAACAGGAUUAGAUACCCUGGUAGUC